rnacentral:rRNA from 1 species
GGUUAAGUUAGAAAGGGCGCACGGUGAAUGCCUUGGCACUAGGAGCCGAUGAAGGACGGGACUAACACCGAUAUGCUUCGGGGAGCUGUAAGUGAGCUUUGAUCCGGAGAUUUCCGAAUGGGAAACCCACUGUUCGUAAUGGAACAGUAUCUUUAUCUGAAUACAUAGGAUAUUGAAGGCAGACCCGGGGAACUGAAACAUCUAAGUACCCGGAGGAAGAGAAAGCAAAUGCGAUUUCCUGAGUAGCGGCGAGCGAAACGGAAUUAGCCCAAACCAAGAGGCUUGCCUCUUGGGGUUGUAGACACUCUAUACGGAGUUACAAAGGAACGAAGUAAAUGAAGCGACCUGGAAAGGUCCGUCGAAGAAGGUAACAACCCUGUAGUUGAAACUUCGUUCCCUCUUGAGUGGAUCCUGAGUACGGCGGAACACGUGAAAUUCCGUCGGAAGCUGGGAGGACCAUCUCCCAAGGCUAAAUACUACCUAGUGACCGAUAGUGAACCAGUACCGUGAGGGAAAGGUGAAAAGCACCCCGGAAGGGAGUGAAAGAGAUCCUGAAACCGUGUGCCUACAAGUAGUCAGAGCCCGUUAACGGGUGAUGGCGUGCCUUUUGUAGAAUGAACCGGCGAGUUACGAUCCCAUGCAAGGUUAAGCUGAUAAGGCGGAGCCGUAGCGAAAGCGAGUCUGAAUAGGGCGUUUAGUAUGUGGUUGUAGACCCGAAACCAGGUGAUCUACCCAUGUCCAGGGUGAAGUUCAGGUAACACUGAAUGGAGGCCCGAACCCACGCACGUUGAAAAGUGCGGGGAUGAGGUGUGGGUAGCGGAGAAAUUCCAAUCGAACCUGGAGAUAGCUGGUUCUCUCCGAAAUAGCUUUAGGGCUAGCCUCAUGUUGUGAGAGUCUUGGAGGUAGAGCACUGAUUGGACUAGGGGCCCCCAACGGGUUACCGAAUUCAGUCAAACUCCGAAUGCCAAAGACUUAUCCAUGGGAGUCAGACUGCGAGUGAUAAGAUCCGUAGUCAAAAGGGAAACAGCCCAGACCACCAGCUAAGGUCCCCAAGUAUACGUUAAGUGGAAAAGGAUGUGGAGUUGCUUAGACAACCAGGAUGUUGGCUUAGAAGCAGCCACCAUUUAAAGAGUGCGUAAUAGCUCACUGGUCGAGUGACUCUGCGCCGAAAAUGUACCGGGGCUAAACGUAUCACCGAAGCUGUGGAUUGACAUCUUAGAUGUCAGUGGUAGGAGAGCGUUCUAAGUGCAGCGAAGUCAGACCGUAAGGACUGGUGGAGCGCUUAGAAGUGAGAAUGCCGGUAUGAGUAGCGAAAGACAAGUGAGAAUCUUGUCCACCGAAUGCCUAAGGUUUCCUGAGGAAGGCUCGUCCGCUCAGGGUUAGUCGGGACCUAAGCCGAGGCUGAAAAGCGUAGGCGAUGGCCAACAGGUUGAUAUUCCUGUACCACCUCCCCGCCGUUUGAGUAAUGGGGGGACGCAGUAGGAUAGGGUAAGCGCGCGCUGGAUAUGCGCGUUCAAGCAGUUAGGCUGAUGGUAGGCAAAUCCGCUCAUCAUAAAGGCUGAGCUGUGAUGACGAGGGAAUUAUAGUACCGAAGUUCCUGAUUCCACACUGCCAAGAAAAGCCUCUAGCGAGGCGGGAGGUGCCCGUACCGCAAACCGACACAGGUAGGCGAGGAGAGAAUCCUAAGGUGAUCGAGAGAACUCUCGUUAAGGAACUCGGCAAAAUGACCCCGUAACUUCGGGAGAAGGGGUGCUCUGGUAGGGUGUAUAGCCCGAGAGAGCCGCAGUGAAUAGGCCCAGGCGACUGUUUAGCAAAAACACAGGUCUCUGCGAAGCCGCAAGGCGAAGUAUAGGGGCUGACGCCUGCCCGGUGCUGGAAGGUUAAGAGGAGGGGUUAUCCUUUGGGAGAAGCUCUGAAUCGAAGCCCCAGUAAACGGCGGCCGUAACUAUAACGGUCCUAAGGUAGCGAAAUUCCUUGUCGGGUAAGUUCCGACCCGCACGAAAGGCGUAACGAUCUGGGCACUGUCUCAACGAGAGACUCGGUGAAAUUAUAGUACCUGUGAAGAUGCAGGUUACCCGCGACAGGACGGAAAGACCCCGUGGAGCUUUACUGUAGCCUGAUAUUGAAUUUUGGUACAGCUUGUACAGGAUAGGUAGGAGCCUGAGAAGCCGGAGCGCUAGCUUCGGUGGAGGCGUCGGUGGGAUACUACCCUGGCUGUAUUGAAAUUCUAACCCGCGGCCCUGAUCGGGCCGGGAGACAGUGUCAGGUGGGCAGUUUGACUGGGGCGGUCGCCUCCUAAAAUGUAACGGAGGCGCCCAAAGGUUCCCUCAGAAUGGUUGGAAAUCAUUCGUAGAGUGUAAAGGCACAAGGGAGCUUGACUGCGAGACCUACAAGUCGAGCAGGGACGAAAGUCGGGCUUAGUGAUCCGGUGGUUCCGCAUGGAAGGGCCAUCGCUCAACGGAUAAAAGCUACCCGGGGAUAACAGGCUUAUCUCCCCCAAGAGUCCACAUCGACGGGGAGGUUUGGCACCUCGAUGUCGGCUCAUCGCAUCCUGGGGCUGUAGUCGGUCCCAAGGGUUGGGCUGUUCGCCCAUUAAAGCGGUACGCGAGCUGGGUUCAGAACGUCGUGAGACAGUUCGGUCCCUAUCCGUCGUGGGCGUAGGAAAUUUGAGAGGAGCUGUCCUUAGUACGAGAGGACCGGGAUGGACACACCGCUGGUGUACCAGUUGUCUUGCCAAAGGCAUCGCUGGGUAGCUAUGUGUGGACGGGAUAAGUGCUGAAAGCAUCUAAGCAUGAAGCCCCCCUCAAGAUGAGAUUUCCCAUAGCGCAAGCUAGUAAGAUCCCUGAAAGAUGAUCAGGUUGAUAGGUCAGAGGUGGAAGCGUGGCGACAUGUGUAGCUGACUGAUACUAAUCGAUCGAGGACUUAACCAA